UACGAAGGGGGCGAGCGUUGUUCGGAUUUACUGGGCGUAAAGGGCGCGCAGGCGGCUCAUUUUGUCAGGCGUGAAAGCCCCGGGCUUAACCUGGGAACUGCGUUUGAUACGGAUGGGCUAGAGUUCGGGAGAGGAGAGUGGAAUUCCCAGUGUAGAGGUGAAAUUCGUAGAUAUUGGGAAGAACACCGGUGGCGAAGGCGGCUCUCUGGACCGAGACUGACGCUGAGGCGCGAAAGCCAGGGGAGCAAACGGG
rnacentral:rRNA from 1 species